ACAGUGUUGAGACAGGGAGGACAGUCACCAGGUAUAACUACAGUGUUGAGACAGGGAGGACAGUCACCAGGUAUAACUACACUACAGUGUUGAGACAGGGAGGACAGUCACCAGGUAUAACUACAGUGUUGAGACAGGGAGGACAGUCAGCAGGUAUAACUACAGUGUUGAGACAGGGAGGACAGUCAGCAGGUAUAACUACAGUGUUGAGACAGGGAGGACAGUCAGCAGGUAUAACUACAGUGUUGAGACAGGGAGGACAGUCACCAGGUAUAACUACACUACAGUGUUGAGACAGGGAG
ensembl:lncRNA